CAGUUGCUUCCUGGAGCUGGUGGCCUGUGAGUCCAAGGCAACCAGCCUUCAAGUUGAAGGACAAGAGAGGAUGCAGCGUAUAUUGGACUCGAGGACUUGAGGUGGGGAGAGACAAGACAGGAUGCACUGAAAAUUAUCUACAGAUAGUACAAUGGACUUAAAUGUUUGAAAAGGGAUUGGAAUAUAAUGGACACUUGUUAUGAAGAUAAUACUUAUACUAAUUAUAAAUGAGUAGGAGAAAUAAUGCUGUUGUAGCAAAACUGUUUCAAUCCAUGCUCCAAAAUCUAUGGAACUGGUAGCUAUUAGGGAUGAAAUGUACAAAAUAUAAACUGUUGUACCCCCCCCCCAAAAAAAAAUCUUACUAUAUAAAUACAAAGUCAUAAAAAUGUGUAACAGAAUAAUCAUAAUCUUCCCUAUCCUAGGCCUAAUAUAGUACAUAUAUGUACUAUACUAUACUAGGCUUAGGAAAAGUUAGGCUUAGUUAUUGGCUUCUUUCUUAGGCCCUCUACAAAAUUAAUACAUAGUGCAAAACAAGGAGAACAAAUUUGCAUGCUAGUCCCUAUUUUGUACUUGCAUGCAUAGUAACUAUAGGUACAGCACUUGAGAGUGACAGGUAGCAAUGUUUAAGAUGUCACUGAAUUAGCUAUAUUGGAAAUGAGAGUAUUAUUUAUGACUACUGGACUACAGUAUGCUAUUAAAGCAUGUUAAUAAUUAGCAGAAAACACAUACCUUAGAAAUGUUUUCUGCAUAUUAUAUAAUCUAAUUUAUGUAAUAAUAAUUACACCAACACCA